rnacentral:tRNA from 1 species
GAGAGUAUAGCUCAGUGGUAGAGUGCAUGCCUAGCAGGCAUGAGGUCCUUGGUUCAAUUCCCAGUAUCUCA